rnacentral:rRNA from 1 species
CCUACGGGUGGCAGCAGUGAGGAAUAUUGGUCAAUGGACGAGAGUCUGAACCAGCCAAGUAGCGUGAAGGAUGACUGCCCUCUGGGUUGUAAACUUCUUUUAUAUGGGAAUAAAAUGUUCCACGUGUGGGAUUUUGUAUGUACCAUAUGAAUAAGGAUCGGCUAACUCCGUGCCAGCAGCCGCGGUAAUACGGAGGAUCCGAGCGUUAUCCGGAUUUAUUGGGUUUAAAGGGAGCGUAGGUGGAUUGUUAAGUCAGUUGUGAAAGUUUGCGGCUCAACCGUAAAAUUGCAUUUGAAACUGGCAGUCUUGAGUACAGUAGAGGUGGGUGGAAUUCGUGGUGUAGCGGUGAAAUGCUUAGAUAUCACGAAGAACACCGAUUGCGAAGGCAGUUCACUGGACUGCAACUGACACUGAGGCUCGAAAGUGUGGGUAUCAAACAGGAUUAGAUACCCGAGUAGUC